rnacentral:rRNA from 1 species
CCUACGGGCGGCAGCAGUGAGGAAUAUUGGUCAAUGGGCGUAAGCCUGAACCAGCCAAGUCGCGUGAGGGAUGAAGGUUCUAUGGUUUGUAAACUUCUUUUAUAGGGGAAUAAAGGUAUCCACGUGUGGAUAUUUGCAUGUACCCUAUGAAUAAGCAUCGGCUAACUCCGUGCCAGCAGCCGCGGUAAUACGGAGGAUGCGAGUGUUAUCCGGAUUUAUUGGGUUUAAAGGGUGCGUAGGUUGUUUUUUAAGUCAGCGGUGAAAGUUUGUGGCUCAACCAUAAAAUUGCCGUUGAAACUGGAAGACUUGAGUGUGUUUGAGGUAGGCGGAAUGCGUGGUGUAGCGGUGAAAUGCAUAGAUAUCACGCAGAACUCCGAUUGUGAAGGCAGCUUACUAAGCCAUAACUGACACUGAAGCACGAAAGCGUGGGGAUCAAACAGGAUUAGAUACCCGAGUAGUC